GAUGAAGAACGUAGCGAAAUGCGAUAAGUAAUGUGAAUUGCAGAAUUCAGUGAAUCAUCGAAUCUUUGAACGCACAUUGCGCCCCCUGGUAUUCCGGGGGGCAUGCCUGUUCGAGCGUCAUUACAACCCUCAAGCUCUGCUUGGUAUUGGGCCCCGCCAGUUCUGGCGGGCCCUAAAGUCAGUGGCGGUGCCUUCCGGCUCCGAGCGUAGUAAUUCUUCUCGCUCUGGAGACCCGGUUGUGUGCUUGCCAACAACCCCCAAUUUUUUAAGGUUGACCUCGUAUCAGGUAGGGAUACCCGCUGAACUUAAGCAUAUCAAUAAGCGGAGGA
rnacentral:misc_RNA from 1 species